CCCCAGAAAAAGUCCCUUUUUCCUAAAUUUAUACAAACAAACCAGCGAAGAAUAACAAAUUGAUAAACGGAACGUAAGUUUUAGGCUUUAUCCUUUGUCUUUGUUUAUUAACAAAAUCGAUUUAAAGGACUGUGUCACCGCGUGCGCAUCCUACGUGUUUCUAACACUAAGUUUAUGAUAAAUUAUUGUUAAUAUUUUUAAAAUUUUUUGUGCGUUUUUUCCUUCUUUUAUUUCAAAUAGAAGUAUAGUUAGGAUAAAUUCUAGAAAAUUUAGAUGCUCAGACGGCAGGAAAUGGCAUUUUUGGGCUUGAAAUUUCAAAAAUUUUCUGGGGAGUUAAUGCCUCCAGACCCCCCUAUUCAUUCGCGGUAUGUCGGCCACACACGUGACCCACGGCCAUUGCUAUCCCCUUUAAUAAUAAGUAAUGGAUAAAUUAUUGUUAAAGGUGAUCUACAGUCCGUAUGUAAACAAAGUCUUUGUUUACAUUUUUGUGUCCAAAAUAUUGAGCUUUAUUCGACAACUAUUUAUAUUUUCAAGCUUCUAGAGUAUAAUAAAUGAUCAAGAAACAACAAUCAGGCUUUUCAGGAACUCAAAACAUAGUUAAACUGUUUGUAUCAUAAAAAGUGGGCUCAUUUGUGCACAUGCGCAGAUCGGACUGUAGAUCACCUUUAAUAUUUCUUUUAUUUUUUCUGCAUUUUUUCCUUCUUUUAUUUCAAAUACAAGUAUAAUUAGCAUAAAUUUUAGAGCAAAUUUAGACGCUCAUAAAGCAGGAAAUGGUAUUUGAAAGGUUCAAAUUUAAAACAUUUUCUGGGGGAGUAUGUCGGCCACACACCGUGGCCGUCGGCCAUUGCUAUCCCCC